CUCUGUCAUAAUCUGGAAUGAUGAUAUCAAUCAAGUGAAGCAGCUAUCACAGGGUCUGGAACAUAGUACAUCCCAGCCUUCUUGCACAUAGAAACACUACACAGCACUUCAGCUGUAUGUUUGGGGGCCAUUUUAAACAGCAAAAUCAUCAACAGGAAGCAGAAAAUUGUAAAAAUUGUGGCACUAAAUAGACCAUGUAAAGGACACAUGUUUGCAAUAAGAAAGCUGAAACAAGAAGGGGGAGUGUCACCUUAUUUGAUCCAGCUAGAAACUCAGGUGCUGGUAUUCCAGCAACACUCAGGCGGCUGCUCCAGGAGGCUGCAGAGGGGUCCUUUUUAGCCGUCAACAAAACUGGCUAUGGUCACGCCCAUUGGGAAACUCAUUGCUGCCUUCAAGGUUCUGUCAAUAGAAGAUACUAAAGAAAGAAAGCCAGGAGAAGAAAAGGGACUUCUUUCUUCAAGGUCUAAGCUGUUCUAAUAGCAUUAUUCUGGGAAUGGCAUCUUCCACUCCUCCUAGUACAAAGAACCUGCUUCCUCAUACCCCGUCAAGGAACUGCAGCAUCCAGGUGAUGGCCACAGUGGCAGAACCUAGGAAGCCAAGAAGAAACCAGAGAAUGGAGACACAUGGCAGCAAUGGCAAGUCAUCAGACCCAGGAUUUCCCAAAGAACACUGGUCCAGGAAGAUGCUCUGUGAAAAAGUGUUCCCUGGUCGGAGAAAUUUGUGAAACACUUUGCAUAAUACUUAAAAGAAUGUAUGGCACAUCAAAGAUCUUAUAACAGUCUCCGCAGGAAGCAGCUGCAGUCAUUAGCCAUAGGACAGACUAAACACACAAUCUGCAUGGAAGGAGGCCUGGAUCAGCUUGGUCUUUCAGAUCUCUAAUCUCAGGCACAGGAAAGCACCAUCAACAGCACCCUUUGUAUAUAUACAUAAAGGUAACAUAUUUUAUCAUUUAAAGGGAUUUGAGAAAUUGAAGAGGCCCAACUCUUUUUCUGCCUUCUUUGGUUUGAGGCUUAGAUUGCUUAAGGGGCUUGCCCAGGAUCACAUAUCUUGUAAGAGACAGAGCAAGGAUUCAAAGCCAGUGCUGGCUUCUGUGUCUCCAUUCUUUCCAUUCUCCUCCAGUGGCUCUUUUGGGAAGCUGAGGGAGGAACAGCAGCAGAAUUGGGUGGCACCUGCCCAUGCCCAUCAUGC
rnacentral:lncRNA from 1 species